GUGCUCAUUUCAGCAGCAUCUAUACUAAAACUGGAAUGAAACAGAGAUCAGCAGAUCACCUGCACAAGGAUUGUAUGGAAAUUUAUGAAAUGUUCCAUAUUUUU
ensembl:snRNA U6 U6 spliceosomal RNA